rnacentral:rRNA from 1 species
GUCUUUAAGAAUUUAAUUUAAAGUCUAAUCUGCCCAAUGAAAAUUUUAAAUGGCUGCAGAAUUUUAACUGUACAAAGGUAGCAUAAUAAUUUGUUUUUUAAUUAAAAACUAGAAUGAAAGAUUUAAUGAAAUAUAAACUGUUUCAAUUAAAAUUAUAUUAAAUUUUUUAUUUAAGUAAAAAAACUUAAAUAAUAUAUAUAGACGACAAGACCCUAUAGAAUUUAAUUUAUUAUUUUUUAUUUUAAAAAAUAAUAAAUUUUAUUGGGGUAAUAUAAAAAUUUAUAAAAUUUUUUAUAAAAAUUACAUAUUUAAUGGAUAAAUUAUCUUAUUAUAUAAAUUAAAAAAAUUAAUUACCUUAGGGAUAACAGCAUAAUUUUUUUUAAAAGAUCUUAUUAAUAAAAAAGAUUAU